GAAGCAGAACAGACGAUCGCCGGAUUCAACAGGGUCCGGAGGAAAGUCCGAACACCACAGGGCAGGGUGCUCCAUAACGUGGAGUCGUGGUAACGCGAAGGAAAGUGCAACAGAAAAUAUACCGCCCGGCGCUUUUCGAUUUUCGCGCGUAUUGCGGAAAUUGAAAAUGGCCGGGUAAGGGUGAAAUGGUGCGGUAAGAGCGCACCAGUUCUUCGGGUGACCGGAGAAGCUUUGUAAACCCCACCUGGUGCAAGACCAAAUAGAGGAGCGCUUGAAGGCGGCCCGCCUGAGCUCCCGGGUAGGUUGCAGGAGGCGUCUGGUAACAGGCGUCCGCAGAGGAAUGAUCGUCAGCCGGAAUCGGGUAACCGGUUCCGGAUACAGGAUUCGGCUUACGGUCUGCUCCGGCC
rnacentral:RNase_P_RNA from 1 species